rnacentral:rRNA from 1 species
UUUUGGACAAUGGGGGCAACCCUGAUCCAGCCAUGCCGCGUGAGUGAAGAAGGCCUUCGGGUUGUAAAGCUCUUUCGGACGGACCGAAAUGGUUACGGUCAAUACCCGUGACUGAUGACGGUACCGUAAGAAGAAGCACCGGCUAACUACGUGCCUGCAGCCGCGGUAAUACGUAGGGUGCGAGCGUUAAUCGGAAUUACUGGGCGUAAAGCGUGCGCAGGCGGUUUCGUAAGCUGGAGGUGAAAUCCCCGGGCUUAACCUGGGAAUGGCCUUCAGGACUGCGAGGCUAGAGUGCGGCAGAGGGAGGUGGAGUUCCACGUGUAGCAGUGAAAUGCGUAGAUAUGUGGAGGAACACCGAUGGCGAAGGCAGCCUCCUGGGCCAGCACUGACGCUCAUGCACGAAA